UACAGAGGCCUCGAGCGUUAGGCGGAAUCACUGGGCUUAAAGCGCGUGUAGGUGGACUUUUAAGUGCUUUGUGAAAUCCCACGGCUCAACCGUGGAACUGCUGGGCAUACUGGAAGUCUUGGGCCAUCUAGGGGCAACCGGAACAAGCGGUGGAGCGGUGAAAUGCGUAGAUAUCGCUUGGAACGCCAAAGGUGAAGACAGGUUGCUGGAGAUGUGCCGACACUGAGACGCGAAAGCCAGGGGAGCAAACGGG
rnacentral:rRNA from 1 species